CAUCCGAGGUUGUUUUCGAUAAAAAUUGGCCGAGGAGCUCCGAAUGCGUAAUUUAAAGCUACGAUAUAAUUUAUCUGUUGAACUAAAACAAUGCAAUGUGACCAUGUAUCGAUUCUUCGCGAGGUAAUGCACCAGUCAAUUGUAACCACGCCCCCACCCCCAAGGUCCGGGGAAUACAUCGAUCCGACCUGUCAAUCAAACUAAUCAUUAUUGACCAAUGAGAAAGCUGCAAAUUAUUCACCGAGUCCCGUCCGCCAUCUUUACCCACAAACACAGCAGCGAUAACUGUUUACAACCGGACAUUUUAUUGAAGUUUUAAGACUGAUUUGUGAAAAUGGUUAAACGACGCGGAUGGGGAAUAUGUUAUGCAGAUUAAGGUAUCCGGAGGGACUAAAUGGAGGCCGAUUUAAACGAUUUCCGACCUAUAAUCCGAUAUUGAGAAGUGCAAAUGCUGGAUUAAAGCCUGUGGACGGCCACAAGAGAAACUGAAUGUCAACAGGAUAAACAAGCACGAAGAUGUCUGCUCGAAGCACUUUCAUGGAAGAAAUGGACAAUCUAAAGAGUAUCCUGACCCACCAUCAGCUGAUGGCUGGAGAAUAACAUCUUCAAGAAAACUCCCCACAAAGCGGUCACUUGGAAAGGAAACUUAUGGCAGCAUUUAUACACAAAAUGCAAGUGUAUGCAUUUAAUACAAGAUAUCACAUGCCUAGAAAAGCUGGUCCAGGAUCCUGCAGACACUGUACCAGGAGUAGAAACACAGACCGAAUGUCCAUGUAAGUGAAACCAACACUCUAACAAUGCCUAUGAUCUUGUUGUCAGUUCUGUUUUACUUGGGUCUUCACAGGUUGUGUGGUAUUUAACGGUGUGAACUCUUUCGGUAAAUCAAUAGGUGCUGCAUUUCAAACAGAGGUAUUCCCACACUCUUGAGAAAUGCAAUAGUUAAAAUUUGUUUAAAUAUUAUACAGGAAUCAUAUGAUUUUAUUUCUGCUUCUUUGAUAUAAUUGAAUAACUGUUAGUUUAUUCAUGUUUGGAAUAAAGCAUUGUAAAGUGAA